UUAAUUAAUUAAUUCCAACAUUUAGCAUACGAAGGAACGCCCGUUGUCUUUCUAUCCGUGGAGAACAAAAGAAAUAGGAAUCAUAUUUACCCUUGUGUUACAAUUCCCAAUUGAAGCUAUUUACUUCCAUUGAAGACUAGAAAAGCUCCAUCAACAUUACCAAUGGAAAUGCAAAGGAAAAUCAUGGUAGGAGGAGACCGACUCAGCGAUUUGCCAGAGCCAAUUUUAAUUCACAUACUCUCUAUGUUGCCCGACAGUAAAGCAGUUGUGAGAAUGAGUGUAUUGUCUACACGAUGGCGGUUUCUUUGGAUGUCCGUUCCGGUGUCACCCGAUUUCAACCUCCCUCAUAGGCCCCCUAAUGGUUACACUGAAAAGGAAGUUUCUGAUUUCAUAGCUUCCGCCAAUAGAGAGCUUUAUUAUUAGAGGUUUUGCCAGAAAUUCAUAAGGUUCAGGUGCUUUCUGCCUAGGUAUGACAAGAGUUAUGUUAAAGAUGUUGAUAUAUGGGUACAUUUUGCAACUAAAGUUGCUAAUGUGGAAUGUUUUACACUUGGGUUUUGCUGGGAAAGUGACCCAAUUUAUGAGCUUCCUCAGUUUGCAUAUAACAAUACGUUGUUGAAGAGGUUGAAAUUAGUCAACUGUGAACUGAACCCUUCUGGUAGUAUUAACUGGAGCAGUCUCAUUUUUCUUGCAAUUGCGUGCCUGAAUUUGACAGAUGAUGUGUUGGAAAAGGUAUUACCUGGUUGUUCCAACUUGGAGAGCUUGGAACUGGUUGGUGAUUUGGCUGUUCGUCGUUUGGAAAUCAGCUCUGUGAAGCUGACAUCUUUGACCAUAAGAGACUUCUAGAAUGAGAAUCUUGAUCGUCGUCUCAAAAUAUUAGCGCCCCAUAUUAAAUAUUUUGAACUUUUGGGGUGCUGCGAUGAGAUAUGCUUGCAGCAGAGAAAUAUGGCUUCACUUGUCAGUGCAAACCUAUUUUUAGAUUUUGAUGAUUUUGUAUAUGCAGGACGGAACUCGGAGGAGGAGUGUAGAUAUUUUAAAGAACUUCUUCAUAGGGUUUCCCAUGUCGAGAAUCUUGGAUUGAGUCGCUGGUGCAUCGAGCUUUACUAUCCAAAAUUUAGAUUUCUUUUUCGUUUUGUGACUUUUUAUGUGCUACUGGAUUCAUGACUUUAAUAAUAGUAACAGGACCAUUACUUAGGAUAAUGCAAUAACUAAGUUGAUAAUUACUAAAGAAUUACAUUCUCGUGACCAAUUUGGGUGGACAGUGGCAGGUAACUGAAAUAAGAUCUUUUGAACAAAAUUUUGGAUGAUGAACAAAAUGGACAGAACGACCUGUAAAAUUUGGAUUGAUUUACAUUCUUCAUGCUCUUUCUUCUAAGUCAUGUGUGUUUAAAGGUCAGUUUUUUGGAUUUCCAAACCAACCUUGAACACUUUGACAUGUCAAUAACUAGUCAUAUAGUCCAAGUUGUUUUUAUGGAUUAUUCAACAAUUAGCAUGCCACUAAUUGUGUUGCAUUUCCUUUUUUUUUUUUUUUUGACAUAGUUGAUUUAUAAGUGCCUUUCCAUACUGGAGCUGAAAGGCUGGCAGUCUCCGCCAUCAAGACGGAAAUUCUUAAAAAUUGACACAGCCUUAGAACAGUUGGACUUCCCUGGAAUAUGCAGCCUUCGACAUAUUUCACCGAAUCUUGAGACAUUGACCAUUGACCGGUGCAAUCACAAACCAAGAGGUCUGCUGUCAAAGCACACAAACGAGGAUGAACAGAGCAGGAGGUUUGAGACACAUAAGUUUAACUGCUCACUGCUACAUUUGAAGACUAUCAAGUUCAUCGACUUUCAUGAACCGCUAAGUAGAUAUGAGUUUGUAUUUCCAUUUGAAAAAUAUCUGCUCAAGAAUGCAAUAGUGCUAGAAAAAUUUAUCAUUGCUGCAGAAUUCGAAGGGAGUGAUGUGCCUCAGGAUUAAGUUAAAAUGACAUAGGAGUUCCAAAGCUUCCCAAGAUCCUCCCUCAUGCUUCAAUUGUCUUUUCUUAUUGACACCUAUCGUUUGUACUGAUAGCAACAUAUUUUGACAGCUGUUACUUUAUGUGUUGAACUGGUUUAUAGCUGAUAGACAAGGCUUGGAUAGUAUCUGUCAGUAUCCAAGGAGUUGUUAGAGUUCUUUAUGUCUAAGUAACAAUGUAUUCAUUCUCUAAUUAUCAUGUAAGAAAGUUUCCGUUAAAUGUUUUGUGGUUUCUAUUCAUAUUACUGUAUCCCGAGCUUGUUUUUGUACUAUGAAAAUUAAGGUUGAAAG